rnacentral:rRNA from 1 species
UACGUAGGGUGCGAGCGUUAAUCGGAAUUACUGGGCGUAAAGCGUGCGCAGGCGGUUCGUUAAGUCAGAUGUGAAAGCCCCGGGCUCAACCUGGGAACUGCAUUUGAAACUGGCGGGCUUGAGUGUGGCAGAGGGGGGUGGAAUUCCGCGUGUAGCAGUGAAAUGCGUAGAGAUGUGGAGGAAUACCGAUGGCGAAGGCAGCCCCCUGGGCCAAUACUGACGCUCAUGCACGAAAGCGUGGGGAGCAAACAGG